UUCCAGAAGCUGAAAGAACAUGAGGGAUAAGUAACGCGAGCUCAAUCGGCGAGUAUGUAUUCGAACGGUGCGAUUAAGCCUCGUUACAUUCGAUGCGGCUACGGAUAGAGCGAUAAGAAAUAUGGAAAUAUUGCGGUCGCAGUUAUAGAAUUACGUCACCAUCGUAUUUAUUUGUAUGUUAGUUAGAGAGAGCGUAAACAAAACAAGAGCUUGGCUCGAGCCAAGGAGACACUCGUUAUUCUCUCAUACCAGUGUGAUCCUCGAUACAGUAAACAUCUCUCCGAGAGAACGUCUUCAAGUUCGUCGCAUUUUCUAAAUUUUCUACAAUAAUUUAAUCAUAACUACGUGUUAUACGAACGAACGAGAGAAGACAUGUCUGGAUCUUGGCAAUAAUUCCAGAGUGGCGAACACUCGACGCAUCUUCCAUAAAUCAUGAAGCCACUCGUCCGGCAAGACGAGCGAGCGAGCGAGCGAGCGAGUGAACAUUCGCGAUCAUCCGUUUCGGUCUCGAGAGAAUCCAAAUUUCAUCUUCUACCUACAUUGCCAGUGAUUUUUAUACGACGACCGAGAUAAUAUCGGAUUGAGAAAUAAUGAUUGUCAUUGUGAG